GGCUCCUGAUUUCGAAAGGGCUUCUCAUGUGCAGGUAACUGACGACAGUCAGCUGUGAUCAAAAAGGUAAAUCGUAAUUAGGGCGUCGGAGAAGAACUAAAAGUUCUUAUGAAAUUCGAAGCUUUUCUGUAUACCUAGUGUCUAACGCUGCGUCUUUGCACUAAAGUAUCGUUUCUUUAAUCGUGAAGCAAAGACAGACUUACCAACAGCGACCUGUGUGAUUGGUUGCUCAGUGUUAUAUGAAGAGACGCUGGUACGUGCCGCUGCGUUGUCAUCUGUCUUCGACCCCCAGCAACGCAGUAAGCGAUUGCCCUAAAGGGAAAUUGGUUUCCUUCCUUGUGCGCUUGCUGCUCCCAUUUUCUGAUUCUUAAAGGCACGUAGCCGGGAUUCAUGUCCCGGAGACUGUGGAUGACGGCUAGGCGGCAGUUGCGCAGAGAGGGAAUGAGAGGGAUUAUGUUGCCUUGCUGAAUAAUUUAUCGCAGUUGAGAAUCUGUUAUCGGUGCGCUGACUGAGAAAAAUUGGGACCGGUUGUUCAUUAUUGUUCUGGGUCUUAUCGAUGCGAUUCCGCGUUAUUUUGUCUCUAGGAUUUUCUUUCUCGGAGAAAUACGCGAAACUGUGAAGUCUUGGCGAAGUUGCCCCGGAAGAAUCGCACAGAAGUCGCGAUUAGCUCUGCAUGAAGAGAAUGAAUCACCGCGUCACCAGACUGAGCAGUCGAAGCCAUUCGAAAUAAAAUUGUUCA
rnacentral:lncRNA from 1 species